GCCCCCGUAGCUCAGUGGAUAGAGCGGUGGUUUCCUAAACCGCGUGCGGACGUUCGAUUCGUCCCGGGGGCA
rnacentral:tRNA from 1 species